GGUGCAAUAAGUGAUGUGCGAACAAGAGAAGAGGGGAGCCUUACAUGGAGAUGAGGAGCCUAUCUCCCUUAGCCAAGAAUGGCUUGCCUAUCUCCAUUAUUUUGUUCAUCGAUGCAGGCCUAGGGAUCGUCAUGGAUGAAAUGUGGAUGAUGGCAUCCAUUCUUGGCUAAGUAUGUGCGGGACUGGAUUGGAAUUUUGCUCUGAGUGGGUGCUAAGUUGUUCAGACCAGAGUCAUCACUCGUUUAGAAGCAUGGUUUAAAGAACUGAAUCAGGAAACUAGACGUGCAUGAAGUGCCAACCAAUGCAAACACCCUAUUAAUUAAUGGGUACCUGAUUCUUUUUCAUAUGCUUUUUUUUUUGAACAUUUUUUCAUAUGCUGUUUCAGGAAAUGCUAGUUUAGCGAUUGUUAUUUUCGUCUUCUUGUUUCCUUCACUAUUUCAGAAGUCAGAAUUGGCCACGAGCUGAGCUUCAGCAUAGGGAAACCACAUUUGGUAAAA